rnacentral:rRNA from 1 species
UACGUAGGGUGCGAGCGUUAAUCGGAAUUACUGGGCGUAAAGCGUGCGCAGGCGGUUCGCCAAGUCAGGUGUGAAAUCCCCGGGCUUAACCUGGGAAUGGCAUUUGGGACUGCAAGGCUGGAGUGUGGCAGAGGAGACUGGAAUUCCUGGUGUAGCAGUGAAAUGCGUAGAUAUCAGGAGGAACACCAGUGGCGAAGGCGGUUCUCUGGGCCUUACCUGACGCUGAGGAGCGAAAGCGUGGGGAGCGAACAGG